GAUGAAGAACGUAGUGAAAUGCGAUAAGUAAUGUGAAUUGCAGAAUUCAGUGAAUCAUCGAAUCUUUGAACGCACAUUGCGCCCGCCAGUAUUCUGGCGGGCAUGCCUGUUCGAGCGUCAUUUCAACCCUCAAGCCCCCGGGCUUGGUGUUGGGGAUCGGCGUGCCCUCGCGGCGCGCCGUCCCCUAAAUCUAGUGGCGGUCUCGCUGUAGCUUCCUCUGCGUAGUAGCAACACUCGCACUGGAUCGCAGCGCGGCCACGCCGUUAAACCCCCCACUUCUGAAAGUUUGACCUCGGAUCAGGUAGGAAUACCCGCUGAACUUAAGCAUAUCAUAAGCGGAGGA
rnacentral:misc_RNA from 1 species